ACGAUGUGAAGUUACUUAAACAACCAGGAGGUUGGCUUAGAAGCAGCCAUCCUUUAAAGAAAGCGUAAUAGCUCACUGGUCUAGUGAUUUUGCGCGGAAAAUAUAACGGGGCUAAAGUAAGUACCGAAGCUGUAGACUUGCGCACAACUUAGAUUAUUUAAGUUUAGAAUAUGAGAAACUAAGUUAUAU
rnacentral:rRNA from 1 species